rnacentral:lncRNA from 1 species
AAGGAGCUGGGUUAUGAAAUAAUUUCAGUGCAUUCUUAAAUUCUUGUUCAGGUGGAGAUAACCCUUUGUACGGAAACACACGAACUGUACCGAGAGUGUUAAGACUACACGUCCGGUAACCGCACUAAACACCAUAUAUUCCUAUUUGAAUCCAAGUAAAAUGAGUAUAUUUUUCGAGACUCUACCUUUAAUCGGAUAUAUAAAUAGCGCGCUAUAAAUAGCCUACAGAACAGAAAUAUUUGAUCACCUGAGUACUAGUCGAAAUAAUUACACGUUCAUACAUGUAUUGUUUUAUAUUUGUGACGCUGACGGGCAAUCUAAAUGGGGAUAUUGCCCAUAUGAAAAAAUAUCACAAUAUUUCCUAGGAUCGCGUCAAAUUAUUUGGACUACUGUUGCUUAUUCAAAGGAGACAUGAUAUUGAACAUUUUGAGAAAUAGCACUGUGGUCAGCAUUUGUCUCACGUGAACUGUGGAGACAUUUGGAUACUGUACCUGAAAGUUCAUCACAAAGUGCUGGUGUUUUGAUAUCUACAAGGUCAUCUAAACGCAAAAACCGGUCAUGCGGAUAGACAUCAAAAUGUUGAAUUGAACUGGUAUUUGAGACUUAAAUCUUCAGAAUAUUAUUUCAUAAAACUGGUCGAUAAAUCGAAGUGGAAGUCUUUAGGAAUGGCGAGUAAACAGUUGUGUCUCUUUGGAGAAACGAUGAUACAAUAUCUAUGUCGACAUUCAAAUGAUGCUAUUCAAGGUAACACUAUACUCAAAGAAGCUGACAUUUGGCAGGGUGAGAAAGGAAGUCUACUUUUGCACGACAGGAAAAAUGAUAUUUGCAUGUAUAUUUUAUCGGAAGCAGCUGCAAAACCACGGUCAGGAAACUCUUUGAAAUUAUGGUGUGGUAGACUAUUUUACUGUUUUUUGUCCGCCUUGAUGGGACGAUAUUAA